ACGGCAAUUUCACACUGAAACACUGGUUUUCGAACGAUCGCCGACGUUAAGCAACGUUGAACCUGGUUAGUACCUAGAUGGGUAACUGCUUGGGAAUACUAGAUGCCGUAA